rnacentral:rRNA from 1 species
GUCAGAGGGNGGUAGAAUUCCACGUGUAGCAGUGAAAUGCGUAGAGAUGUGGAGGAAUACCGAUGGCGAAGGCAGCCNCCUGGGAUAACACUGACGUUCAUGCUCGAAAGCGUGGGUAGCAAACAGGAUUAGAUACCCUGGUAGUCCACGCCCUAAACGAUGUCAAUUAGCUGUUGGGGUGCUUGACACCUUAGUAGCGUAGCUAACGCGUGAAAUUGACCGCCUGGGGAGUACGGUCGCAAGAUUAAAACUCAAAGGAAUUGACGGGGACCCGCACAAGCGGUGGAUGAUGUGGAUUAAUUCGAUGCAACGCGAAGAACCUUACCUGGUCUUGACAUGUACGGAAGGUCUUAGAGAUAGGACUGUGCCUUCGGGAACCGUAACACAGGUGCUGCAUGGNUGUCGUCAGCUCGUGUCGUGAGAUGUUGGGUUAAGUCCCGCAACGAGCGCAACCCUUGUCAUUAGUUGCCAUCAUUAAGUUGGGCACUCUAAUGAGACUGCCGGUGACAAACCGGAGGAAGGUGGGGAUGACGUCAAGUCCUCAUGGCCCUUAUGACCAGGGCUUCACACGUCAUACAAUGGUCGGUACAGAGGGUAGCNAAGCCGCGAGGNGNAGCCAAUCNCAGAAANCCGAUCGUAGUCCGGAUUGCACUCUGCAACUCGAGUGCAUGAAGUCGGAAUCGCUAGNAAUCGCAGGUCAGCAUACUGCGGUGAAUACGUUCCCGGGUCUUGUACACACCGCCCGUCACACCAUGGGAGUGGGUUGCAAAAGAAGUAGGUAGCUUAACCUUCGGGAGGGCGCUUA